AAUAACCUUAUUUUUCGUGUUUCCGUGUCUAACGUUUGACCAUUCGUUUUAUUUAAAAAAAUUUUACGGUUAAUAUUUUUAUUGUUACUAGAUAAUAAAAUAUGAGUAGUACUUUAUACGUGGCUAAUUUUUUUAAGUUUUUUUACAAAUUUUUUAAGUAAGAUGAAUGAUCAAACGUUGGACACGGAAAAAC
rfam:Oryza brachyantha chromosome 2, whole genome shotgun sequence.